GUGAAUCAUCGAAUUUUUGAACGCAAAUUGCACUCUCUGGCAUUCCGGAGAGUAUGCCUGUUUGAGGGUCAGUUUAAAUAUAAAUCGAGGUUUUGCUGUUUUUUGACGCAUCAGAAUUGUCUUAUCUUUUACCUUUUAUUCCGUUUAAGUUACCUAAAAUUGAUACCUUUUGCAUUUCAGACUUACAUAAGCAUAUUUUUUUAUCCUUCCGGAUUUGCCAAUUUUUUAUUUGGUAUGAUCAUGCUGUUUUUGUCCGCUUUCCUAUAAUAUUCGCA
rnacentral:misc_RNA from 1 species